rnacentral:lncRNA from 1 species
GCCCUCCAGGUUCCCUUGGAGAGUUCAUCAAUGAGCUUGACGCCUUGAUAAGUUCCUUUCCUGAGAAUGGCUCACCUCUCACAGUUCUGGACCAUUUCCGGAGACCUUCUCCCCUACCUCACCUCGCUCAUCAACUCAUCCUUGACCGCUGGCUACGUCCCUUCCGUCUUCAAGAGAGCGAGAGUUGCCCCCCUUCUGAAAAAACCUACACUCGAUCCCUCCGAUGUCAACAACUACAGACCAACCUAUCUGCUGCCUUUGAUACUGUGAACCAUCAGAUCCUCCUCUCCACCCUCUCCGAGCUGGGCAUCUCCGGC